AGUGAACGCUGGCGGUAGGCCUAACACAUGCAAGUCGAACGGCAGCACAGUAAGAGCUUGCUCUUACGGGUGGCGAGUGGCGGACGGGUGAGGAAUACAUCGGAAUCUACUUUUUCGUGGGGGAUAACGUAGGGAAACUUACGCUAAUACCGCAUACGACCUACGGGUGAAAGCAGGGGAUCUUCGGACCUUGCGCGAUUGAAUGAGCCGAUGUCGGAUUAGCUAGUUGGCGGGGUAAAGGCCCACCAAGGCGACGAUCCGUAGCUGGUCUGAGAGGAUGAUCAGCCACACUGGAACUGAGACACGGUCCAGACUCCUACGGGAGGCAGCAGUGGGGAAUAUUGGACAAUGGGCGCAAGCCUGAUCCAGCCAUACCGCGUGGGUGAAGAAGGCCUUCGGGUUGUAAAGCCCUUUUGUUGGGAACGAAAAGCAGCAGGUUAAUACCCCGCUGUCCUGACGGUACCCAAAGAAUAAGCACCGGCUAACUUCGUG
rnacentral:rRNA from 1 species